rnacentral:rRNA from 1 species
ACACACGUGCUACAAUGGUCGGUACAAAGGGUUGCCAAGCCGCGAGGUGGAGCUAAUCCCAUAAACCGAUCGUAGUCCGGAUCGCAGUCUGCAACUCGACUGCGUGAAGUCGGAAUCGCUAGUAAUCGCGAAUCAGAAUGUCGCGGUGAAUACGUUCCCGGGCCUUGUACACACCGCCCGUCACACCAUGGGAGUGGGUUGCACCAGAAGUAGCUAGUCUAACCUUCGGGAGGACGGUUACCACGGUGUGAUUCAUGACUGGGGUGAAGUCGUAACAAGGUAAGCCGU